ACUUUUAUAUGGUUGGGUACUUGGGUAGUGAAACAAUGCAUUAUACAAUAAAACAAAAAAAAUAAAAUGAUCCAUUGAUAACUCUUCAUUUUCUAAUAUAUUAAUUAUUGUUUUAAUUGAAAAAAAUGCAAAAUUAUAUAAUUAUAUAUUAUAUAUAAAAUUUAAAUAAUAUGGUCAGAGUCUGGGAAUUCGCGAGGCGGAUGGUACUUUUCCAAUUCUCGUCCCGAAGUGUCAUCGAGGGAAC
rnacentral:lncRNA from 1 species